UUUCCGUAGGUGAACCUGCGGAAGGAUCAUUAACACGUUUAAUAUCAACCUCACCUCAUUAUAAUCUGUUGUGGUGGUGUCACGUUGUCCUCAAAAGGGGCAUCGUGUAGCCAUCAACACUUGUUUAACCUAUCAAUAAAUGAAUAAUUUAUUGUGUAAGUACUAAACAAAAAAAUAAUUGAAAAUUUUCAACGAUGGAUAUCUUGGUUCCCGCAUCGAUGAGGAACGCAGC
rnacentral:misc_RNA from 1 species